AGGCACGACAACUAAAAUAAUACCAAGCCCAGUCGGUAUCAAUUGCGUAGAUGGUGCUCAUUACUCUUACUUUCCCGACCUGAAAUUAGUGAUAUAGCAUUCAAAUACCAUUCCUUAGAUUCACGGAAAGCGAGAGACAGACCAUCAUUUGGAAGGCUGUAUGAUAUAAGAUGCAAAGUGUUAUAUAGGUCGGGUUGAUAUGCACUUGUGAUGCAUCAUAGGAAUUAGAUAGGAAGAUGCAAGCCGAAUAUUACCUUUGUAUGUUUUCACUUUAACAAACCGGAGGAUGCAAACCACAAUGACACCAUUUGAUGCAUGGCAGCCUCCAAAAACUUUGUCAGCGAAUGAGCCC